GCCAAGGGGCUGGCGGCGGUCGAGUAGUCGAUCUUGGCCACAGCGUUCGGUGUCACAGUGGUUGGCAUGUCGUUCCUUGUCAUUCAAAAAAAAUGUAACAAUAGAUUAUUUAGAUACCUAAGAGGUUCGAGUGUGAGUAUGCUGUCGGGACCCGAAAGAUGGUGAACUAUGCCUGAGCGGGGCGAAGAAACUCUGGUUGAGGCCCGCAGCGAUACUGACGUGCAAAUCGAUCGUCUGACUUGGGUAUAGGGGCGAAAGACUAAUCGAACUGUCUAGUAGCUGGUUCCUUCCGAAGUUUCCCUCAGUAUAGCUAGAGCCCGGGUGCGAGUUCUAUCGGGUAAAGCGAAUGAUUAGCGACAUCGGGGGCGCAACGCCCUCAACCUAUUCUCAAACUUUAAAUAGGUAGGACAGCGCGACUGCUUUGUUGAGCCGCGCCAAGGAAUCGACAGCUCCAAGGGGGCCAUUUUUUGUAAGCAAAACUGGCGAUGUGGAAUGAACCGGAAGCCGGGUUACGGUGCCAAACUGCAUGCUAACCUAGAACCAAUAAAGGGUGUUGGUCGAUUAAGACAGCAGGAUAGUGGUCAUGGAAAUCGAAAUCCGCUAAGGAGUGUGUAACAACUCACCUGCCGAAUCAACUAGCCCCGAAAAUGGAUGGCACUUAGGCGCGUGACCUACACCCGGCCGUCGAGGCAAGUGCCAGGUCCCGAUUAGUGAAGGGGGCGCGGCGGUUGCUGCAAAACCUUGGGCGUGAGCCCGGGCCAAGCAGCCGUCGGUGCGGAUAUUGGUGAUAGUAGCAAAUAUUCAAAUGAGAACUUUGAAGGCCGAAGAGGGAAAAGGUUCCAUGUGAACGACACUUGCACAUGGGUUAGUCGAUCCUAAGAGACGAGGGAAGCCCGUCAGAUAGCGUGUUUCACGGUGUCACGGUAAGUAUAGAGAGAAAUCGUUAUAAAGCUAUUUACACCUUUUUGCAGAUUGUUACAUGUGUCAGAAAAGUAGCUUUUGUAACAGAAGAUUCUCAACUGUAGAUUAUUUAGAUGGAUGGUGGAGAUGAAGUUUUGUUGUUCUCUAUAUCCUUCCCCUAUAUAUAGGGGAAUUAUAGAGAAAACCUAGGUGAAUUAGAAAAACUAUAAAACCCAAAUGG
rnacentral:lncRNA from 1 species